rnacentral:lncRNA from 1 species
CCCCUCUUCACUGUUAUUGCUGGUUUUCUAAUACUCGACCUGAACCUGACAUGCAGUGCAGUAUUUUGGAGUUACUCAUACCUUGACUGAGGCCUGCAGUUAAGCAAGUUUUGCUUAGGCAUCAGCUGUACUUUCUUAGUUGUGUGUUUUUAAUGCUUAGACCUCAUGCUUGAUGUUUUACAUUUUUGGACAGGUAUUUUCCACUCCAUUGAAUGACCAGUCUACUUCAUGCAGAUCUAAGCAGAAUUUGGGGGGAUUUUGGCUGGCUGUGACAAUUUCAGUUUCUCACAAGAAAACAUCCAGAGACCUCCAGUCAAUGAACAGAGCUACUUUUUCAGUGCUGACUUCUCUACCGAGGCUUUAAGUUUUUUGGAGUCUGGAUUAAAAGAUGUGAGCACCUAAAAAAACCUGAAACAGAGAAAUAAAUAAAGUCACCUCAGUGCUUCA